rnacentral:rRNA from 1 species
UAAGCGUGUGAUGAAAUUUUAGGGCUCAGCCCUGAGACUGUUAUGCGAAACUGCGAAGCUAGAGUAUGUGAGGGGUAGCUGGAAUUCAUAGUGUAGGAGUGAAAUCCGUAGAUAUUAUGAGGAACACCGAUGGCGUAGGCAGGCUACUGGCAUAUUACUGACACUGAGGCACGAAAGCGUGGGAGCGAACGGGAUUAGAUACCCCGGUAGUCCACGCCGUAAACGAUGGAUGCUA